CUACGGAGGGUGCAAGCGUUAAUCGGAAUUACUGGGCGUAAAGCGCGCGUAGGCGGUUCGGUAAGUUGGAUGUGAAAGCCCAGGGCUCAACCUUGGAACUGCAUUCAAAACUGCCAGGCUAGAGUACGGUAGAGGGGGGUAGAAUUCCACGUGUAGCGGUGAAAUGCGUAGAGAUGUUGAGGAAUACCAGUGGCGAAGGCGGCCCCCUGGAUCGAUUCUGACGCUGAGGUGCGAAAGCGUGGGGAGCAAACAGGAUUAGAAACCCUAGUAGUCC
rnacentral:rRNA from 1 species